rnacentral:lncRNA from 1 species
AAUCUCACCGGAAAAAUCCAAGCAAAACCGGCCAAACUUAACCCUCGUGAUCCCGACGUCCAAAUCCUUCCAACGAAGCACUCCGAGCUUCCUUGGGACCUCACUAAGCUCGCUGUGAUCUUGUUUUAGCCUAAAUCGUAACCAUUUAAAAGAUCAUGAACAGUACAUAAACACGGGACCUUAAAAACUAGGGUUUUCCGAAGCAAAACUUACCUGAAAUGGAUACCAUCGUGAUCGUGAAGUCUUCAGGGUUCCAAUGGUGGUCUUAGAUUCGUCGUUGGUAUAGAUUUAGGGUGGUUUUGUGGUGGUCCGUGUGAGUUCGAAUGAGAGGGAGAGAGAACUGAGAGUUUCGUGAGGGAGGAGAGAGAGAGUGACAAGGUACGGGAAUUGGGGAAGGUUUUGAGGGAUGUGGGAUCCCCCCGUGUCCAACUCAAUCUCAAUUUCAAACUUUUAAC